rnacentral:rRNA from 1 species
AUUGAACGCUGGCGGAAUGCUUUACACAUGCAAGUCGAACGGCAGCACGGACUUCGGUCUGGUGGCGAGUGGCAAACGGGUGAGUAAUACAUCGGAACGUGCCCAAUCGUGGGGGAUAACGUAGCGAAAGCUACGCUAAUACCGCAUACGAUCUAAGGAUGAAAGCGGGGGAUCGCAAGACCUCGCGCGAUUGGAGCGGCCGAUGGCAGAUUAGGUAGUUGGUAGGGUAAAGGCCUACCAAGCCGACGAUCUGUAGCUGGUCUGAGAGGAUGAUCAGCCACACUGGGACUGAGACACGGCCCAGACUCCUACGGGAGGCAGCAGUGGGGAAUUUUGGACAAUGGACGCAAGUCUGAUCCAGCCGUUCCGCGUGCAGGAUGAAGGCCCUCGGGUUGUAAACUGCUUUUGUACAGAACGAAAAGGCUCUGGUUAAUACCUAGGGCUCAUGACGGUACUGUAAGAAUAAGCACCGGCUAACUACGUGCCAGCCGCCGCGGUAA